CUAAAUGUUUGAGGGUUUAGAUAUAUGCCACUGAUCUGGCCAAGUUGAGCUACAUGGUGAAUAAUGUCAAAAAUCCUAAAGACCCCAAAUAAAACUACUGCUUUGGCAAGAGCUAGGUUUACAGUUUUCUGAGAAGGCAGUCCUACAGUGGGCCCUGAAAGGAUUAUUUCAGUAUAAAUCAAUUUUGCAUCAAAAGCAUAGUUUUCAGAAACUUGCCACUGGGACCAAUCCUUUUGCCCUAGCUCAGUACUAAUUUCUUUGUCCCCUUUGUGAGGACAGAAAGUUUGUACAAAACCCUUCUGGCCUUGUUUCUGUUAUGCGAGCUGGCCAAACCAAACUUCAGUCACAGUUGUCUUUAUUUUAUGAAGAUUUAAAGCCAGUCUUGCCCUCAUGCCCUUCAUCAGUGUCUGCAAGAAAGAUUGCGGCCAACAGCAGGAGGCCCAAACACAGCAAGGCCACCCAAAUUCUGCCUGCUGCUUACGAGCGACUUCAGUUAGUUGAGAUGAAACACCCACAUUUCCAACUGAUGGAGACAGGAAACUGACCAAAGAAAACUUGCCUCGAGUUGGCCAUACUCAUUCCAGUUCCGUACACAGUGGCGUAUUCCCAAUUCUGGUGCCAG
rnacentral:lncRNA from 1 species